rnacentral:rRNA from 1 species
UACAGAGGGGGCAAGCGUUAUUCGGAAUUAUUGGGCGUAAAGGGCGCGUAGGCGGCCGGACAAGUGGAAGGUGAAAUCCCCGAGCUCAACUCGGGAACUGCCCUCCAAACUGUUUGGCUUGAGUCCGGGAGAGGUGAGUGGAAUUCCCAGUGUAGCGGUGAAAUGCGUAGAUAUUGGGAGGAACACCAGUGGCGAAGGCGGCUCACUGGUCCGGUACUGACGCUGAGGUGCGAAAGCUAGGGGAGCGAACGGG